rnacentral:rRNA from 1 species
UGGGGAAUCUUGCGCAAUGGGCGAAAGCCUGACGCAGCCAUGCCGCGUGAAUGAUGAAGGUCUUAGGAUUGUAAAAUUCUUUCACCGGGGACGAUAAUGACGGUACCCGGAGAAGAAGCCCCGGCUAACUUCGUGCCAGCAGCCGCGGUAAUACGAAGGGGGCUAGCGUUGCUCGGAAUUACUGGGCGUAAAGGGAGCGUAGGCGGACUGUUAAGUUAGAGGUGAAAGCCCAGGGCCCAACCUUGGAAUUGCCUUUGAUACUGGCAGUCUUGAGUACGGAAGAGGUAUGUGGAACUCCGAGUGUAGAGGUGAAAUUCGUAGAUAUUCGGAAGAACACCAGUGGCGAAGGCGACAUACUGGUCCGUUACUGACGCUGAGGCUCGAAAGCGUGGGGAGCAAACA